CAUUACUGAGUGAGGGCCCCUCGGGGUCCAACCUCCCACCCGUGUUUAACGAACCUUGUUGCUUCGGCGGGCCCGCCUCACGGCCGCCGGGGGGCAUCCGCCCCCGGGCCCGCGCCCGCCGAAGCCACCUGUGAACGCUGUCUGAAGUAUGCAGUCUGAGACAAUUAUUAAAUUAAUUAAAACUUUCAACAACGGAUCUCUUGGUUCCGGCAUCGAUGAAGAACGCAGCGAAAUGCGAUAACUAAUGUGAAUUGCAGAAUUCAGUGAAUCAUCGAGUCUUUGAACGCACAUUGCGCCCUCUGGUAUUCCGGAGGGCAUGCCUGUCCGAGCGUCAUUGCUGCCCUCCAGCCCGGCUGGUGUGUUGGGCCCCGCCCCCCUUCCCGGGGGGGCGGGCCCGAAAGGCAGCGGCGGCACCGCGUCCGGUCCUCGAGCGUAUGGGGCUUUGUCACCCGCUCUUGUAGGCCCGGCCGGCGUCAGCCGACCCCCUCAAUCUAUUUUUUCAGGUUGACCUCGGAUCAGGUAGGGAUACCCGCUGAACUUAAGCAUAUCAAUAAGCGGAGGAAAAGAAACCAACCGGGAUUGCCCUAGUAACGGCGAGUGAAGCGGCAAGAGCUCAAAUUUGAAAGCUGGCCCCCUCGGGGUCCGCAUUGUAAUUUGCAGAGGAUGCUUCGGGAGCGGUCCCCAUCUAAGUGCCCUGGAACGGGCCGUCAUAGAGGGUGAGAAUCCCGUAUGGGAUGGGG
rnacentral:rRNA from 1 species